ACAAAAGCAGAUCCAAUAGACCGGCCUUGCCUUCCCAAGACGGCGACAGCAGCACUUUGAAGUAGGGAAGAAGUGAAUAGAGGGUAAGAAGAAGAUGGUAACGAGAACAGAAGAAGAAGAGGUGAACAGAUUGGAGAAUCAAGUAGAGAAUGGAGGAGGAGGUGUUUGGGAGUAUCUUUGUCUUGUCCAUAAACUCAAGCUCCGUCGAUCUGAUAUGGUGUUGAAGCAUGGGCUCUCCAUUCUCAAUGAUUCCAAAAAGAGAUCUGCUCUUGGACCUGAAGAAUGGACCCUAUAUGAGCAGGUCGCUGUUGCAGCUAUGGAUUGUCAAUCUAUUGAUGUGGCAAAGGACUGCAUAAAGGUUUUGCAAAGAAAGUUUCCGGGGAGCAAAAGGGUUGGUAGGCUAGAAGCUAUGUUGCUUGAGGCCAGGGGAUUAUGGUCAGAGGCAGAAAAUGCUUACUCAAGCCUUUUGGAGGAAAAUCCAUUUGAUCAGGUUGUACAUAAGAGGAGGGUAGCCAUGGCAAAGGCACAAGGCAAUACAUCUGCAGCAAUUGACUGGCUUAACAAGUAUCUCGACUUAUUCAUGGCUGAUCAUGAAGCUUGGAGAGAGCUUGCUGAAAUAUAUAUUUCCUUGCAAAUGUACAAGCAAUCAGCUUUCUGCUAUGAGGAGCUCAUCUUGUCUCAACCUACAGUUCCUUUAUAUCACCUAUCCUACGCUGAUGUGCUGUAUACACUUGGUGGACUAGAAAAUCUUCAGACGGCAAAGAAAUAUUAUGCAUCUACCAUAGACUUGACUGGUGGCAAGAGUACCAGAGCACUUUUUGGCAUAUGUUUGUGUACAUCUGCCAUCGGGCAGCUGACUAAAGGACGAAACAAGGAGGAUAAAGAGAGCCCGGAGCUUCAAUCUCUGUCGGCAAUGGCAUUGGAAAAAGACUAUAAGCAGAGAGCUCCCAGCAGGCUGUCAGUGCUUAGUUCAGCAUUGAGAAGCUUGAAAAUCUAACUUAACCAACCACAUUAGCAUAUAGCUUUAUUGGAAGCAGCACCAUUCUGUUCACAGCGUGCACUUCAAGAUUCCAAGUCUGUCAAUCUGCUUAACUACCCCUUUUUGCAGAAUCUUUUUUUCCCAAUAGUUCUCAUUCUUCUACUCUUUGCAUUAUUUUACUUAUUUGUGGGAGUUCUGUUUCACUUAUUUUAAGUAAGGGAAGCAAAUAACAAUGCAGAAGUUAGCAAGAUUAUUACUUUUAGACAAUUUUGGGAAAGUUUAUUGCUGAAUAGAAUGUUGGACCAUGAAAUAA
rnacentral:misc_RNA from 1 species